ACGGCCUACCAAGGCGACGAUGCGUAGCCGACCUGAGAGGGUGACCGGCCACACUGGGACUGAGACACGGCCCAGACUCCUACGGGAGGCAGCAGUAGGGAAUUUUCGGCAAUGGGGGAAACCCUGACCGAGCAACGCCGCGUGAAGGAAGAAGUAAUUCGUUAUGUAAACUUCUGUCAUAGAGGAAGAACGGUGGAUAUAGGGAAUGAUAUCCAAGUGACGGUACUCUAUAAGAAAGCCACGGCUAACUACGUGCCAGCAGCCGCGGUAUACGUAGGUGGCGAGCGUUAUCCGGAAUUAUUGGGCGUAAAGAGGGAGCAGGCGGCACUAAGGGUCUGUGGUGAAAGAUCGAAGCUUAACUUCGGUAAGCCAUGGAAACCGUAGAGCUAGAGUGUGUGAGAGGAUCGUGGAAUUCCAUGUGUGGCGGUGAAAUGCGUAGAUAUAUGGAGGAACACCAGUGGCGAAGGCGACGAUCUGGCGCAUAACUGACGCUCAGUCCCGAAAGCGUGGGGAGCAAAUAGGAUUAGAUACCCUAGUAGUCCACGCCGUAAACGAUGAGUACUAAGUGUUGGGGGUCAAACCUCAGUGCUGCAGUUAACGCAAUAAGUACUCCGCCUGAGUAGUACGUUCGCAAGAAUGAAACUCAAAGGAAUUGACGGGGGCCCGCACAAGCGGUGGAGCAUGUGGUUUAAUUCGAAGCAACGCGAAGAACCUUACCAGGUCUUGACAUCGAUCUAAAGGCUCCAGAGAUGGAGAGAUAGCUAUAGAGAAGACAGGUGGUGCAUGGUUGUCGUCAGCCCGUGUCGUGAGAUGUUGGGUUAAGUCCCGCAACGAGCACAACCCCUGUUGCCAGUUGCCAGCAUUAAGUUGGGGACUCUGGCGAGACUGCCGGUGACAAGCCGGAGGAAGGCGGGGAUGACGUCAAAUCAUCAUGCCCCUUAUGACCUGGGCUACACACGUGCUACAAUGGACAGAGCAGAGGGAAGCGAAGCCGCGAGGUGGAGCGAAACCCAUAAAACUGUUCUCAGUUCGGACUGCAGUCUGCAACUCGACUGCACGAAGAUGGAAUCGCUAGUAAUCGCGAAUCAGCAUGUCGCGGUGAAUACGUUCUCGGGCCUUGUACACACCGCCCGUCACACCAUGAGAGUCGGUAACACCCGAAGCCGGUGGCCUAACCGCAAGGAAGGAGCUGUCUAAGGUGGGACUGAUGAUUGGGGUGAAGUCGUAACAAGGUA
rnacentral:rRNA from 1 species